CUGCACCACGCUACCGACGAGUACCGGCUGUUACUGCAACGGACUCUCACCGAUCCGCUACCUGAAGGUCAAGUGGGCUGCUACAUCUUCGCAUUGGGCUCCGACCAGCCGCCGAGGUACAUCGGGGGGCCAGUGGCUGCUGAAUCAACCUACUUGCACACACCUGCCUUGGUCCGUGAUAGCCUGCAUUGGUUCCCAGUGCAUCGUCAGAGUGACCCACAGCAAUAUCACGCUGGAAGCGAAGUGGUAAUAGUAUUUGACACCACAUCCGAGUCGUUCCGGGAGAUGCGUGCUCCAGAUGUUCCUGGAAGGUCAUAUAUCUUUGAGAUGGAUGCCACGCUUGGCAUCUAUAGCUUGGACAAGGCCAUGCAAACUGUUUACAUAUGGGUGUUGCAGAACUACGAAAGCGAGGUCUGGGAGUGGGAGUAUAGCAUCAAAUUGCCGGCUGCAGAAAUCGAGAGGCGGUUUCGAUGGUUGGAUCACAAUUGGACUGCCAGCGUUGUGUCGGUGGAAGGUGAAGUCCUCUUGCUGGUCAGUCAUGGCGAGUGGCUGUUUUAUAUCAACAUUGAUGGCAAACUGGUUGAUAACUUCCAUCGUACUGGCCAACACAUCUAUGCUUGGGACCUUCGGCUCAAGCAAACUCUUGUUCGACAUAAUUUCUUCGUGGCACUUGAAGGUUAUGCUGUGAAUGCUUUGCCUUUUGUCUGACGGUUGCUAAUGAGGUGGUUAUUCUCAAUGACCUAGCUGUAUCAUGGAUCAAGUAGUUGCUCAGCUGCUCGAACUUUGGCUGCCUGGUGUCAGCUGGGUGUUACUGACAUGGCCUCUUCGGCGGAAGAAUAAACUUGUGAGACAAAAUAUUUGGAGUGCCUACCUUGUUAAAUUUUACACCAUGGAGAGCAGCUGGAGAUCCAUGGAACGGCAGUUCCAUGCGAAGCUACAUCUAUAAAUUCUUCCCCUCACAGCUGCAUCAAGUCUUGGUUAGUUGGUUUGUUCUCUGAAGCAGGAUUAUGUCCUGGUUGAGUUCUCGUGAAGCUUGCAGUUAGCAUUCACUGUUGGCGGAAUGGAUCAGUAGAGGCCUGGAGAGCAGGGUGGGGUGGCAUCUGGUACCACCUGGAGGGCCUGGAUUUGGUGGGAUUCUUGAGAUCCUGGUAAGUGGAUCUUCAGCUAAAUAUCGCUCUCAGUUUGUUCACUUGCUAGCUUCACCAGAUUGUUAGAAGAGCUUGGAGCACUACUCGUUAUGUCAAAUACAUUGCAUUAUGGUCCAAACUUAUUUUCGUCGCGUGGUUGCAGUGCAGUCCUUCAACCGAGCUGACUGAUCGGCAUGC